UACGUAGGGGGCAAGCGUUGUCCGGAAUUAUUGGGCGUAAAGGGCUCGUAGGCGGUUUGUCACGUCGGGAGUGAAAACUCAGGGCUCAACCCUGAGCGUGCUUCCGAUACGGGCAGACUAGAGGUAUGCAGGGGAGAACGGAAUUCCUGGUGUAGCGGUGGAAUGCGCAGAUAUCAGGAGGAACACCGGUGGCGAAGGCGGUUCUCUGGGCAUUACCUGACGCUGAGGAGCGAAAGCGUGGGGAGCGAUCCGG
rnacentral:rRNA from 1 species